CCCUUAGAUGUUCUGGGCCGCACGCGCGCUACACUGAUGCAUUCAACGAGUCUAAAACCUGCUCUGAUAGGGGUGGGUAAUCUUUUGAAUGUGCAUCGUGAUUGGGAUAGAUGAUUGCAAUUUUUCAUCUUCAACGAGGAAUGCCUAGUAAACGCAAGUCAUCAGCUUGCAUUGAUUACGUCCCUGCCCUUUGUACACACCGCUCGUCGCUCCUACCGAUUGAAUGAUCCGAUGAAUAUCAUGGAUUGAGGAUGCAAGUAGGUUAGCCUAUCUUCAUCUUCGAGAAGUGAAGUAAAUCUUAUCAUUUAGAGGAAGGAGAAGUCGUAACA
rnacentral:rRNA from 1 species